GAUGAACGCUGGCGGCGUGCCUAAUACAUGCAAGUCGAGCGAACAGACGAGGAGCUUUCUCCUCUGACGUUAGCGGCGGACGGGUGAGUAACACGUGGAUAACCUACCUAUAAGACUGGGAUAACUUCGGGAAACCGGAGCUAAUACCGGAUAAUAUAUUGAACCGCAUGGUUCAAUAGUGAAAGACGGUUUUGCUGUCACUUAUAGAUUGAUCCGCGCCGCAUUAGCUAGUGGGUAAGGUAACGGCUUACCAAGGCAACGAUGCGUAGCCGACCCGAGAGGGUGAACGCCCACCCUGGAAGUGAGACACGGCCCACACACCGAGGGUAGGACGCAGUCGGGAAUCCUCCGCAAUGGGCGAAAGCCUAACGGAGCAACGCGGCGUGAGUGAUGAAGGUCCUCGGACCGUAAAACUCUGUUAUUAGGGAAGAACAAAAGUUUAAGUAACUAGGCACGUCUUGACGGUACCGAAUCAGAAAGCCCCGGCUAACUACGUG
rnacentral:rRNA from 1 species